UGUGUGUUACUACUUCAUGUACAAUUACAGCUGGCUCUUAUUAACUCACCUCUAUGUGGUGAAGAGGCUGCUUUCUGAACGAUUUCAAGUUGAAUCUGUUUUUCAGUCAUUCAAUAGUGAGAGACUGUAUAUAUCUUAAUAUAUCACCAAUUGAUGGCACCUCAUUGAAAUGCCUCCUCCACUCAAGGGGUAUCAGUAAUCGUUAUAUUGGGAAGAUUGCAAUGCUAGCCAAGUCAAGGGAAGAUCUGGACCACUUACAUAGGAUCUGUGUUACUGAGAUGAUACUAAGAAGAGAUUCAGGAAGCUUUUAUUAAUGACUCCAUUGAACUGUGUGUCAGCCAAUGUGGCUUAUUUCCUCAACUGUUUACUAACUGAUACUGAAGAGAUUGUUUCUGAUGAAGUUGCUGCUACAAAAAAGAAGUCCAAGAAG